rnacentral:rRNA from 1 species
UACGAAGGGGGCUAGCGUUGCUCGGAAUCACUGGGCGUAAAGGGUGCGUAGGCGGGUCUUUAAGUCAGGGGUGAAAUCCUGGAGCUCAACUCCAGAACUGCCUUUGAUACUGAGGAUCUUGAGUUCGGGAGAGGUGAGUGGAACUGCGAGUGUAGAGGUGAAAAUUCGUAGAUAUUCGCAAGAACACCAGUGGCGAAGGCGGCUCACUGGCCCGAUACUGACGCUGAGGCACGAAAGCGUGGGGAGCAAAGCAGG